rnacentral:rRNA from 1 species
AGAGCGGGAGCCCGGAGAUGGGCACUGAGACAAGGGCCCAGGCCCUACGGGGCGCAGCAGUCGCGAAAACUCCGCAAUGCGCGAAAGCGUGACGGGGCUACCCCGAGUGCCGUCCGCUGAGGAUGGCUUUUCCCCGGUGUAAUGAGCCGGGAGAAUAAGGAGAGGGCAAGACUGGUGUCAGCCGCCGCGGUAAUACCAGCUCUCCGAGUGGUAGGGACGAUUAUUGGGCUUAAAGCGUCCGUAGCCGGCUUAGCAAGUCUCCUGUUAAAUUCAGCGACUCAAUCGUUGAGCCGCGGGAGAUACUACUAGGCUAGGAGGCGGGAGAGGUCGACGGUAUUCCCGGGGGAGGGGUGAAAUCCUAUAAUCCCGGGAGGACCACCAGUGGCGAAGGCUGUCGGCU